rnacentral:rRNA from 1 species
UGCGUAGGUGGUUGGUUAAGUUUGAGGUGAAAGCUCCGAGCUCAACUCGGAAAAUGCCUUGAAGACUAUCUGACUAGAGGAUUGGAGGGGAGAUUGGAAUUCUCGGUGUAGCAGUGAAAUGCGUAGAUAUCGAGAGGAACACCAGUGGCGAAGGCGAAUCUCUGGACAAUUCCUGACACUGAGGCACGAAAGCCAAGGGAGCAACG